GGUGGAGUAAUGCCUAGGAAUCUCGCCUGGUAGUGGGGGAUAACGUGCCGGAAACGGGCGCUAAUACCGCAUACGUCCUGAGGGAGAAAGUGGGGGAUCUUCGGACCUCACGCUAUCAGAUGAGCCUAGGUCGGAUUAGCUAGUUGGUGGGGUAAAGGCCUACCAAGGCGACGAUCCGUAACUGGUCUGAGAGGAUGAUCAGUCACACUGGAACUGAGACACGGUCCAGACUCCUACGGGAGGCAGCAGUGGGGAAUAUUGGACAAUGGGCGAAAGCCUGAUCCAGCCAUGCCGCGUGUGUGAAGAAGGUCUUCGGAUUGUAAAGCACUUUAAGUUGGGAGGAAGGGCAGUAAGUUAAUACCUUGCUGUUUUGACGUUACCAACAGAAUAAGCACCGGCUAACUUCGUGCCAGCAGCCGCGGUAAUACGAAGGGUGCAAGCGUUAAUCGGAAUUACUGGGCGUAAAGCGCGCGUAGGUGGGUUCAGCAAGUUGGAUGUGAAAUCCCCGGGCUCAACCUGGGGAACUGCAUCCAAAACUACUGAGCUAGAGUACGGUAGAGGGGUGGUGGAAUUU
rnacentral:rRNA from 1 species